rnacentral:lncRNA from 1 species
ACUUUUGAUUGAGAUUAUUUAGUAAGGGAUAAAUUCCAAUAUUCUCCUCCCUUAUCCCCUAGGACAAAACAAAGCAAAGUAAACAAUGAUGUCUAUACCAAAACAUUUAAAAAGCUUGAUAGUAAUGCAUUUGCCUACAACCAUAUCAGGUUGCAAGAAAUGGUUUUUAUGUUCUUCGUACCGGGUGUGAGGCUAGCUUGAUAGAGUUUCGUCUUAGAUUGUUAGUGGUUAAUGUUGUGUUCACACUAUUCAUUCGUUAUCCAUAGUAUAUGGUUGGUUAUUGUUAUUGCUUUUUAUCGAUUUUCUGGUUCUUAUGUCGUUGUUAUUAUUCUAUGUUUU